rnacentral:rRNA from 1 species
UGUGACUAUAAUGUUUAACGGCCGCGGUAUUUUGACCGUGCGAAGGUAGCGCAAUCACUUGUCUUUUAAAUAGGGACCUGUAUGAAUGGCAUAACGAGGGCUUAACUGUCUCCUUUUUCAAGUCAAUGAAAUUGAUCUCCCCGUGCAGAAGCGGGGAUAACUACAUAAGACGAGAAGACCCUGUGGAGCUUUAGACGUCAGGGCAGAUCAUGUUAAGCACCCCUAAACACAGAUCCAAACUAAAUGAAACCUGCCCCCAUGUCUUCGGUUGGGGCGACCAUGGGGUAAAAAAAACCCCCCACGCAGAUAGGGAGUACUAUGCUCCUAAAACCAAGAGCUUCCGCUCUAACAAACAGAAUCUCUGACCUAAAGAUCCGGCAAAGCCGAUCAACGGACCAAGUUACCCCAGGGAUAACAGCGCAAUCCUCUUUUAGAGCCCAUAUCGACAAGAGGGUUUACGACCUCGAUGUUGG